rnacentral:rRNA from 1 species
AGCAGCCGCGGUAAUUCCAGCUCCAAUAGCGUAUAUUAAAGUUGUUGCAGUUAAAAAGCUCGUAGUUGAAUUUCGGGAUCAAUACGUUGGUCGUGCUUUCGGGUACGUACUGGCGUCAUUGGUUUCUCUCUUCUGACGAACCAUGAUGUCAUUAGUUUGGCGUUAUGGGGAGUUAGGACUGUUACUUUGAAAAAAAUUAGAGUGUUUAAAGCAAGCUAACGCUUGAAUACAUUAGCAUGGAAUAAUGAAAUAGGACGUUCGAUCCUAUUUUGUUGGUUUCUAGGAUUGACGUAAUGAUUAAUAGGGAUAGUUGGGGGCAUUAGUAUUCAAUUGUCAGAGGUGAAAUUCUUGGAUUUAUUGAAGACUAACUACUGCGAAAGCAUUUGCCAAGGAUGUUUUCAUUAAUCAAGAACGAAAGUUAGGGGAUCGAAGACGAUCAGAUACCGUCGUAGUCUUAACCAUAAACUAUGCCGACUAGGGAUCGGAUGAUGUUAAUUUUUUAAUGACUCAUUCGGCGCCU